rnacentral:rRNA from 1 species
AACGUAGGAGACAAACGUUAUCCGGAGUUACUGGGCGUAAAGGGCGUGUAGGUGGUAAUGUAAGUCUGGCGUGAAAUUUUUCGGCUUAACCGGGAAAGGUCGUCGGAGACUGCAUAACUAGAGGACGGUAGAGGCGUGUGGAAUUCCGGGGUGUAGUGGUGAAAUGCGUAGAGAUCCGGAGGAACACCAGUGGCGAAGGCGACACGCUGGGCCGUACCUGACACUGAGGCGCGACAGCGUGGGGAGCAAACAGGG